rnacentral:rRNA from 1 species
UACGAAGGGGGCUAGCGUUGCUCGGAAUCACUGGGCGUAAAGGGUGCGUAGGCGGGUCUUUAAGUCAGAGGUGAAAUCCUGGAGCUCAACUCCAGAACUGCCUUUGAUACUGAGGAUCUUGAGUUCGGGAGAGGUGAGUGGAACUGCGAGUGUAGAGGUGAAAUUCGUAGAUAUUCGCAAGAACACCAGUGGCGAAGGCGGCUCACUGGCCCGAUACUGACGCUGAGGCACGAAAGCGUGGGGAGCAAACCGG